rnacentral:rRNA from 1 species
AUUGAACGCUGGCGGUAUGCUUUACACAUGCAAGUCGAACGGCAGCGCGGUCAGCGCUUGCGCUUACGGGUGGCGACUGGUGGGUAAGUUAGGAGAACGUCCCCAUUUGCUUUUUCGAGCGAGACGACGUCGGGGCACUUACGCUAAUCCCGCAUCCGGCGUAAGGGUGGAAGCGUGAGAUCUUGCACUCUUGCGCCAUUCGAUGUGCGGAUGUCGGAUUAGCUAGUUGGCGGGGUAACGGCGCACCAAGGCGACGAUCCGUAGCUGGUCUGAGAGGACGAUCAGCCACACUGGAACUGAGACACGGCCCAGACUCCUACGGGAGGCAGCAGUGGGGAAUUUUGGACAAUGGGGGCAACCCUGAUCCAGCCAUCCCGCGUGUGUGAUGAAGGCCUUCGGGUUGUAAAGCCCUUUUGGCAGGAAAGAAAAGCAGCAGGUUAAUACCCCGCGGUACUGACGGUACCUGAAGAAUAAGCACCGGCUAACUACGUG